AACGAACGCUGGCGGCAGGCUUAACACAUGCAAGUCGAACGCAUCCUUCGGGGUGAGUGGCAGACGGGUGAGUAACGUGUGGGAACGUGCCCUUCAGUUCGGAAUAACCCAGGGAAACUUGGGCUAAUACCGGAUACGUGCGAGAGCAGAAAGAUUUAUCGCUGAAGGAUCGGCCCGCGUCUGAUUAGCUAGUUGGUGAGGUAAUGGCUCACCAAGGCGACGAUCAGUAGCUGGUCUGAGAGGAUGAUCAGCCACAUUGGGACGGAGACACGGCCCAAACUCCUACGGGAGGCAGCAGUGGGGAAUAUUGAACAAUGGGCGCAAGCUUGAUCCAGCCAUGCCGCGUGAGUGAUGAAGGCCUUAGGGUUGUAAAGCUCUUUCAGUGGGGACGAUAAUGACGGUACCCGCAGAAGAAGCCCCGGCUAACUUCGUGCCAGCCGCCGCCGUAAGAC
rnacentral:rRNA from 1 species